rnacentral:lncRNA from 1 species
AAAACUUUGGAGUAAAAAUUAAGGGUGAACUAGUUAAUAAUCUUAGACACGCUGAAGACACCCUUAUCUUUCAUGUUUUAUACACAACACUGUUUAAUUUAGCUUUAGACUAUGCGUAGGUAAUGGAUUUUGCCAAGAGAUACGACCUUGAAAAUUUCACGUAAACUUGUGUACUAAAUCGGCAUGACUCAUAGCUCUUGUCAAAAUCCAAUACCAACCAAUCCAUGUCAAAAUAUAAAUUAAAGGAACCUAAGAACAAAAGUUUUUUAGAGACAAAUAUAAUUAAAUAUAUGCUAGAGGAAGUAAAAGGGGAAGUUCAAAUGUGACCCAUAUUAAAUCAAGGAAAAACUAGAAUAUUAGGUAUGAUUAGGGAAAAAA